CGCUUCUUUUUCCACCGGAGCUUGCUCCACCGGAAAAAGAGGAGUGGCGAACGGGUGAGUAACACGUGGGUAACCUGCCCAUCAGAAGGGGAUAACACUUGGAAACAGGUGCUAAUACCGUAUAACAAUCGAAACCGCAUGGUUUUGAUUUGAAAGGCGCUUUCGGGUGUCGCUGAUGGAUGGACCCGCGGUGCAUUAGCUAGUUGGUGAGGUAACGGCUCACCAAGGCGACGAUGCAUAGCCGACCUGAGAGGGUGAUCGGCCACAUUGGGACUGAGACACGGCCCAAACUCCUACGGGAGGCAGCAGUAGGGAAUCUUCGGCAAUGGACGAAAGUCUGACCGAGCAACGCCGCGUGAGUGAAGAAGGUUUUCGGAUCGUAAAACUCUGUUGUUAGAGAAGAACAAGGAUGAGAGUAACUGUUCAUCCCUUGACGGUAUCUAACCAGAAAGCCACGGCUAACUACGUGCCAGCAGCCGCGGUAAUACGUAGGUGGCAAGCGUUGUCCGGAUUUAUUGGGCGUAAAGCGAGCGCAGGCGGUUUCUUAAGUCUGAUGUGAAAGCCCCCGGCUCAACCGGGGAGGGUCAUUGGAAACUGGGAGACUUGAGUGCAGAAGAGGAGAGUGGAAUUCCAUGUGUAGCGGUGAAAUGCGUAGAUAUAUGGAGGAACACCAGUGGCGAAGGCGGCUCUCUGGUCUGUAACUGACGCUGAGGCUCG
rnacentral:rRNA from 1 species